rnacentral:rRNA from 1 species
UACGUAGGGUGCAAGCGUUAAUCGGAAUUACUGGGCGUAAAGCGUGCGCAGGCGGUUAUGUAAGACAGGUGUGAAAUCCCCGGGCUUAACCUGGGAACUGCAUUUGUGACUGCAUAGCUAGAGUACGGUAGAGGGGGAUGGAAUUCCGCGUGUAGCAGUGAAAUGCGUAGAGAUGUGGAGGAACACCGAUGGCGAAGGCAGCCCCCUGGGCUGAGAUUGACGCUCAGGCACGAAAGCGUGGGGAGCAAACAGG